GUGAUUGGGUGAACUGCGGAAUAUGUGGCGAGUGGGCUCACUUUGGCAGUGAUAGGCGGCAGGGGCUUGGUGCUUUUAAGGACUAUGCUAAAACGGAUGGGCUGGAGUACAUUUGUCCGCACUGCAGCAUC